rnacentral:rRNA from 1 species
AUUGAACGCUGGCGGCAUGCCUUACACAUGCAAGUCGAACGGCAGCACGGGAGCAAUCCUGUUGGCGAGUGGCGAACGGGUGAGUAAUAUAUCGGAACGUGCCCAGUCGUGGGGGAUAACGCAGCGAAAGCUGUGCUAAUACCGCAUACGAUCUAAGGAUGAAAGCGGGGGAUCGCAAGGCCUCGCGCGAGUGGAGCGGCCGAUAUCAGAUUAGCUAGUUGGUGGGGUAAAGGCCCACCAAGGCGACGAUCUGUAGCUGGUCUGAGAGGACGACCAGCCACACUGGAACUGAGACACGGUCCAGACUCCUACGGGAGGCAGCAGUGGGGAAUUUUGGACAAUGGGCGCAAGCCUGAUCCAGCAAUGCCGCGUGCAGGAUGAAGGCCUUCGGGUUGUAAACUGCUUUUGUACGGAACGAAACGGCCCUUUCUAAUACAAGGGGCUAAUGACGGUACCGUAAGAAUAAGCACCGGCUAACUACGUGCCAGCCGCCGCAGUAAUAC